rnacentral:rRNA from 1 species
UACGUAGGCAGCGAGCGUUGUUCGGAGUUACUGGGCGUAAAGCGCACGUAGGCGGCUUUGUAAGUUAGAGGUGAAAGCCCAGGGCUCAACCCUGGAAUUGCCUUUAAGACUGCAUCGCUUGAACAUCGGAGAGGUAAGUGGAAUUCCGAGUGUAGAGGUGAAAUUCGUAGAUAUUCGGAAGAACACCAGUGGCGAAGGCGACUUACUGGACGAUUGUUGACGCUGAGGUGCGAAAGCGUGGGGAGCAAACAGG